CCCUAAACGAACGGCUUGCCGAAACAGAUCCUGCUUCUCUCUUCCACAGGCCAUUUUCUCUCCCUCAAUCGACGGCGUUUGAUUCCGACGGCCUCCGCUAGACGAGGAGAGGUUGAGAGGGCUCCGUUGUGAGCGGGAGGCAUGGCUUGAGGUGGAGGGAGGGAGGGAGGGAGGGAAGAACAGAGCGGUGGAGGCGGAUACGUGCGGCUACAGCUGGAGGUCGAUACAUUCGGUGUGGUGAUCGCGGCGAAGGAGCGACGCCCCGCCCAGUUGCCGCCGCCGGCCGCCGGCCACCACGGAGCGAGACCUCAGUGAGGCGGUGAAGUACGGGGCUUCUGCGCGAGCUCACCACAGCAGUGUCAGCGUGUGGAAGGCGGUGAUAGCGGAAUGGCCAGUUUCCGUCUCACCGGUCUGGAGGCACGCAAGGUGUUUGUUAGAAUGCUUAGCAGCGGGACAGGUGGCAGCGAUGCCGCUGUGGAGGCUUUUGACCCCGCCAAGCGCCUCUGCAAGCUCAUCAUCUCCUGCCGGCAGGCCUCGGGGCUUGAGAUCGAGCUCGACCACAGCGACCUCCGAGUCACCCCGGACGUCGCCGAGCGCGUCCUCGAGCGCCUCGACAACGCUGGCAUGCUCGCGUAUCGCUUCUUCGAGUGGGCGCGCAAGCAGAGGCGUGGUGGCUGCGCCCACACCGUCCGCUCCUUCCACACGGUGGUCGCGUCCCUCGCCAAGAUCCGCCAGUACCAGCUCAUGUGGGACGUCGUUGCCAUAAUGUGCCGGCAGGGCGUGGUCAAUGUCGAGACGUUUGGCAUCAUAAUGCGGAAGUACGCACGGGCGCAGAAGGUCGAUGAAGCUGUUUACACGUUCAAUGUCAUGGAGAAGUACGGCGUGGUGCCUAACCUCGCCGCUUUCAACAGCCUGCUUUGCGCACUGUGCAAGUCCAAGAAUGUGCGCAAGGCACAGGAGAUCUUUGAACAGAUGAAUGACCGGUUCAGCCCUGAUGCCAAGACCUAUAGCAUCUUGCUUGAGGGUUGGGGGAGAGCGCCUAAUCUCCCAAAGAUGCGAGAGGUCUACAGUGAGAUGCUUGAUGCAGGCUGCCAGCCUGACAUAGUCACAUAUGGCAUCAUGGUUGAUUCCCUCUGCAAGACAGGCCGUGUUGAGGAAGCUGUCUUUGUGGUGCAGGACAUGAGCUCCAGGGGCUGCCAACCAACAACCUUCAUAUACAGUGUGCUCGUGCAUACUUACGGUGUUGAAAUGAGGAUCGAGGAUGCUGUUGCAACAUUUUUGGAUAUGCAGAAGGACGGAAUCGUGCCAGAUGUUGUGGUUUAUAAUGCACUUGUCACUGCCUUCUGCAAAGUGAAAAAAUUUGACAAUGCAUUUAGAGUCAUGGAUGACAUGGAAGGCCAUGGAAUCACCCCAAACUCAAGGACCUGGAACAUCAUCCUUAACAAGAUGAUUAGCCUUGGAAAGGAUGAAGAAGCAUACAGGGUCUUCCGCUGUAUGAUAAAGCGCUGCCAGCCAGAUUCUGAUACAUACACCAUGAUGAUAAAGAUGUUCUGUGAGAAUGACAGGUUAGAGAUGGCACUGAAGGUAUGGAAAUAUAUGAGGUUGAAGCAGUUUCUGCCGAGCAUGCACACGUUCUCUGUGCUGAUCAACGGGCUGUGUGACAAGGGUGAGGUUAGCCAAGCUUGUGUUCUGCUUGAAGAUAUGAUAGAGAAGGGCAUUAGACCCCCUGGUUCAACAUUUGGCAAGCUGAGGCAGCUCCUUCUGAAGGAAGGAAGGAAGGAUGUGCUUGAAUUUCUCGUUGAUAAAAUGAAGAUUCUGAUACAGGAACCUUUGUUUGAUUGACCAUUCAUUAUGUUCCAAUGGUACUACUGCUCAAUCCUACAGCUGCCACCCAUGGCUCAUUUGAAAUAAUAAUUUCAGGGUUACUUUUGCUAUUGCUUGUGGGAUUUCUGUUAUUGUUUGUCGAGCAUGAUUGUUCUCUUUUUAUUAAGGCCAUGGUGUUAAUCUAUGUUUGGAAGAAACACUUUCCAUCUUCCGGUCUCAAUUGUAUCAGGAUAAUCCAAAUGAUAGUCAAUUGUGCGAUAAUAGUUUAGGUUCAUACAAUUUGUAAUUUCCAACUACAGUUACUUCAUAAGUACCACAUUGUUGUGCUAUCAACCAAACUGGAUACAGUUUUAUAUGGUCCUAUCAGCAUCUUCCUUACAUUUGUUCCACUUCUGUUAAUAUGUUGCAGCUAAUAAUUUUGUAUCUUUGGUUCCUUUUAUUUAUUUCACAGCAGGAGACAACGGCUAAUAGUGAUUCUUCUGCAUAGAUAGUUUAGUUGAAAAGAUAUCACCUCAAUGUCUCUGUGAAAAGGGGGGAAAUCAAUUCAAUGUAGAUUUUCUUUCACCGAGGCUUGAGGGAGCAAAUGCCCAAUUCUCCAGGAUGGAUAAGGUUUUCCAUGUCAUAUUCUUGCAGUAGUUAUAUGUCCAUGAUGAAAUCUCUUCUUCAUACUGCCUAAAAACUACUGUUGUCUUGUGUCAUAAUUCAUAGAUAAAGGUAAAAUCCAAUUGUAAGAAAAUAAAGCCAUUGACAAGAGGCAUAGAGGUUUCCUUGGAAAGGUCAAGCAAAAGACAACAGUGGCAAGCAAACCCAAAUCUUGAAGAUUUGAUGGGCUCUGCACAUCAGAUGGCUAUGGCUGUAAAAAACAGAUGCCUCAAGACCCUGGGUUGAGUUUCACGCAGUGCUCAAGCGCUUUUUGGGGUAGCGGCGGAAUCCAUUGUGCACGGGAGGCAAGAAAAUUCUGAUCUGACCGGUGGUUGUAAGGCAGAACAAUCACUGAGUUGGCUCCUAACUUGAUCAAGUUGAUCUCCAUAAGAGUUGUUAAACAUCGAACUGUUGCUCAAGACCUGAACAGCCAAGGAUGGGUAACUGACAUCAAAGGAGCCCUAACGGUACAAGUGAACUAUUGAGUGUCUUCAGAUUUGGGACAUGGUUGAUAAUCUGGUCUUACAUCAGAAAGUUCAUGAUCAGCAGCGGUGGCGUUUCACUCGGUCAGGUUCCUACAUCAGUACAUAUGCAUAUCACACUUUCUUCAUUGGAACCAUCAAGUUCACACCUUGGAAACAAAUCUGGAAAAGCUGGUCUGCACUGCGAAUUUUCAUUUCGUUAGUUGUAAACAGCCGGUGUUGGACAGCUGACCGACUUGCGAAGCGCGGCCUUCCCUAUCCAGUUGCUUGUCCCCUCUGUGAUCAGGCUGAGGAAACAAUCCAACACACCAUCAUCUCAUGUGUGUUUGCUCGGCAGGUCUGGACACUAAUUUUCCAAAGGUUGGGCCUGAUUGCUAUUGUCCCUCAACCUACUGCUGCUCAGUUCUCUGCUUGGUGGAGCAAUGCUAUCAGUAGGGUUCCAAAGGUGCUGAGAGAAGGCCUCAACUCCCUGAUCAUUUUAAUACCUUGGGAGCUUUGGAAGCACCGAAAUGAUUGUGUUUGAAGGGGCAAACCCAAGUGUUAAGGUGGUUUUGCAAACAGUGGAUGAGAAUGUUUAUGGUGUCUGGCUGGAAUCUCUGCGCUUCAUAAGCUCCUCCUUCGGUCGCUCUCCCUGGACUCUUAUUAUUGGGGAGGUGACCUGGUCGUGGACGUUUAAAAUUCAUAGUGGCGUGUUUGUAGUCCUGUUGUGUGUGUGCUGGGUGUGUUUUAUGAGUAGUCUCUUUGGCCUCUCCCCUGUACUGUUUUUUCUCUCUUAACGAAAUGACACGCAGCUCUCAUGGGUUGUUCUAGAAAAAUAGAAAAACAUCUUUGACUGAAUGAAAGCACUUGAUGACACGAUUGAGAAGUCA